GACGUAGGGCGCGAGCGUUGUCCGGAUUUAUUGGGCGUAAAGAGCUCGUAGGCGGCUCGUUGCGUCGGCUGUGAAAACCCGCAGCUCAACUGUGGGCUUGCAGCUGAUACGGGCGGGCUGGGAUUCGGUAGGGGAGACUGGAAUUCCUGGUGUAGCGGUGAAAUGCGUAGAUAUCAGGAGGAACACCGGUGGCGAAGGCGGGUCUCUGGGCCGUAACUGACGCUGAGGAGCGAAAGCGUGGGGAGCGAACAGG
rnacentral:rRNA from 1 species